AUACGUAGGUGACAAGCGUUAUCCGGAUUUACUGGGCGUAAAGGGCGUGUAGGCGGUCUUGCAAGUCAGAAGUGAAAUUCCUGAGCUCAACUCGGGCGCUGCUUCUGAAACUGCAGGACUUGAGUGCUGGAGGGGAUAGCGGAAUUCCUAGUGGAGCGGUAAAAUGCGCAGAUAUUAGGAAGAACACCGGUGGCGAAGGCGGCUAUCUGGACAGUAACUGACGCUGAGACGCGAAAGCGUGGGGAGCAAACAGGAUUAGAUACCCUGGUAGUCCACGCCAUAAACGAUGAAUACUAGGUGUAGGGGGUAUCGACCCCCUCUGUGCCGACGUUAACACAUUAAGUAUUCCACCUGGGGAGUACGGCCGCAAGGCUGAAACUCAAAGGAAUUGACGGGG
rnacentral:rRNA from 1 species